AGAUGCUGCGGCUCGCCGCGCGGCUCCAGCUGGGGCGCUGUGGUCCCGACGGUCACCCGAAUCGCAGGGAGUCGCCGCUGGAGAGGGGCUCGGCGCCCGGCGGGUACUGCAGAAACCCCCAAGAGGCUCUCCUCCCUGCCCCAUCAUGGGCUGCCUCAGGAAGCUGGACCCAGGCAGACCCUACGCCUCCUCUGACCAGCCCUGUACCAGAGGGAAGAUGAGCCCUCCACAUCAUGGCGUCCUGUCAACAUGGGAAGAAAAAGUGGAAGCAGGACUGGCUCUCUCUGUGCCCUCUGGGGUCCCACCAACCCACCCCAACUCCAGGCCUUUCUGCCCCAUGCAGGGUCCCCAGCAAGGACUAUGAGUCCUCUUCGCUGGCUCAGAAGAGGAACUUGGAGAUGGGGGAAGGCCCUGUUGUUGGAUAUUUCAACACCACCUCACCACUGGCAGGGGAAUUGCUGGCGGGUGCGGGGGGAGUGGGGGCGGCAUUCCCAGCAGCAGCUGGAAUUUUACAAUGGGAGCUCCUCUCAACAAGAUAGGGAGGGGGCUUGGGAGGGUGGUGCCAGGGAAGCCAGGCCCUGCUUGCCCAGCUUUUGAGAAAAGGCAUCAUGCUGGGAGAGCGGGUGUCACUGUCUUCCCCCCCACCUCUGCCCCAAAGCCGUGAGGUUCUGCUGACAAGUCAUAAGAAACAGCUGAUGACUGACUCAGACGGAAAUGAGCGUGUCAAAGGGCUGGGUGCUGAGCCCGGUGUGCUGGGUUAACCCCCAGGGCAGCUCAGCUGAGGGUCCCCUGGUUGGGCUCCCUCUCCCCGUCUCUCAGGCUCCCAGGCACUAGUGACUUGGGCAAGUCCUGCCUCUGAGAAGAACUUGGGGCAAGCUCGAAAAAGCCUUGGAAUGCCAGGGAGGCUGGCACACCAGAAUUUCACCAGUGCCUGAGGGUAUCCUGCCCUUCCGUGGAGAAGGUUUUGAUGUGUCCCUUGAGCAGGGCGGGGUUGGGGGGAAGAGGCACACUGAGGCCAGGAGAUGGGAAAGUCACAGGCGGCCCCAGAAUGAGAAAGAGAAGCCAUGGGCAGUCAGGCAUUGGGCGGGGUGUGCUAGCAGCAGCCCCAUGGCACUGUGUUCUGCCCCGUUAAGGACAGGAGUGUGCAGAAGUGGUGUUGGCUGAGAACAUUCAUUUGCAUCUUGUGUUUGCAUCCAUUACAGUGUGGGACACGUAAUGAGUGAGCAGGAUGACUCACUCCUGCUUCAUGGCAUAAGCAG
rnacentral:sRNA from 1 species